rnacentral:rRNA from 1 species
AGCAGCCGCGGUAAUUCCAGCUCCAAUAGCGUAUAUUAAAGUUGUUGCAGUUAAAAAGCUCGUAGUUGAAUUUCGGGAUCAGUAUGUUGGUCGUGCUUCGGUACGUACUGUCAUUACUGGUUUCUACCUUCUGAAGAACCUUGAUGUCAUUAAUUUGGUGUCUUGGGGAAUCAGGACUGUUACUUUGAAAAAUUAGAGUGUUUAAAGCAAGCAUACGCUUGAAUACAUUAGCAUGGAAUAAUGAAAUAGGACGUUUGAUUCUAUUUUGUUGGUUUCUAGGAUCGACGUAAUGAUUAAUAGGGAUAGUUGGGGGCAUUAGUAUUCAAUUGUCAGAGGUGAAAUUCUUGGAUUUAUUGAAGACUAACUACUGCGAAAGCAUUUGCCAAGGAUGUUUUCAUUAAUCAAGAACGAAAGUUAGGGGAUCGAAGACGAUCAGAUACCGUCGUAGUCUUAACCAUAAACUAUGCCGACUAGGGAUCGGAUGAU